rnacentral:rRNA from 1 species
UACGGAGGGUGCGAGCGUUGUCCGGAAUCACUGGGCGUAAAGGGCGCGUAGGCGGCUCAUGAAGGCUGUGGUGAAAGUCCGGGGCUCAACCUCGGAUCGGCCGUGGCGACUCGUGGGCUGGAGCACUGUAGAGGCGGGUGGAAUUCCGGGUGUAGCGGUGAAAUGCGUAGAGCUCGGGAAGAACAUCGGUGGCGAAAGCGCUCUACUGGACUGCAACUGACACUCAGGGACGAAAGCUAGGGGAGCGAAUGGG